UGCCGGAGCCGAAGCCUCUACACAAAGCGGCGCCCACGACGACGGCGCUUUGAAACAAUGAGCGACUUGAUGUGGAUUCAAAGAAACGAUGAUCUCGUCAAUCGUCACUUCACUGCAGCACGUGCAGCGGCAUCGCAGUUUCAGAGCGACAGCACUCGCCGCCGCUCAUAGAUUGGCAGAUUCAACGGCAAUGGCAGUGGCAUCGGAGCUUCAGAGGUUUGCAUUGCAAUUAUCAGAAGAUGGUAAAGUGAUGGUCUGUGUGGUUUUUGGUUGAUGUGCGACUAGGUGUUGGAGUGCGGCUGCACGGCGAGGUGCUCUAUCUAAUUUAUUUUUUUGUGGUGAUUGUUGAUAGUACCAGUUGCAGAUUUGGGAUUUUUUUUGGUGGGGAUUGUAAUUGUGGUGUGGUAGAGAUGAGAGGCUGUUGGUGGUGCAGUGGUGGAUUUGGCUGUGGCGGGGGCUAAAACGAAACGUUGAGAUGGUCACAAAUUAUUUGGUGUUGGUGUGGUGGCAUGAUGAUGGCGAUGGCAGAGGCAGUGGCAAUCGAUGGUGACAGUGGUGAUGGAGUGGGAUGAAUAGUGGUGAGGUAUUGGUAGUUACGUAUAAUGAUUGUUAUCGAUAAAUAACGUGGCCAAUGAAAUAUAUAAUUUGUGACUAAUAAAU
rnacentral:lncRNA from 1 species